rnacentral:rRNA from 1 species
GACGAACGCUGGCGGCGUGCUUAACACAUGCAAGUCGAACGGAAAGGCCCUGCUUUUGUGGGGUGCUCGAGUGGCGAACGGGUGAGUAACACGUGAGUAACCUGCCCUUGACUUUGGGAUAACUUCAGGAAACUGGGGCUAAUACCGGAUAGGAGCUCCUGCUGCAUGGUGGGGGUUGGAAAGUUUCGGCGGUUGGGGAUGGACUCGCGGCUUAUCAUCUUGUUGGUGGGGUAGUUGCUUACCAAGGCUUUGACGGGUAGCCGGCCUGUGAGGGUGACCGGCAACAUUGGGACUGAGAUACGGCCCAGACGCCAACGGGAGGCAGCAGUGGGGAAUAUUGCACAAUGGGCGGAAGCCUGAUGCAGCAACGCCGCGUGCGGGAUGACGGCCUUCGGGUUGUAAACCGCUUUCGCCUGUGACGAAGCGUGAGUGACGGUAAUGGGUAAAGAAGCACCGGCUAACUACGUG